ACUUAAUACACACGGCUCUUCUCGGUAAAAGGCUCAGUGGGGCUGGGUAUUGUGAAACAGAAACUUUGACAUGCGCACUUGUUUGUGGAUGGAUGUAUUCAACAAUCCGUAUAAAAAGGAUCCUCCAAAAAUUUUCAGUCCAGUCAAGAAGUUCGCCAAGAUGAAGUUAUCAUUAUUAAUUUUCUUCAUUGGACUACUUGUUGGGCAUUGCAUGACACAGCGGGAAACAUGGCCGUAUUUACCAAAUGAAACAUAUCAUUGCCCAGCAUGCGGACACUCGGUAGUUAAAGCGGAGGGCGUGACCGGCAUACAAGAAAUAAUAGAGAGAGACCACCAUCCUAAUUAUAAUACCGCUGAAAAUAAAGCGCCGCUCGACGUGUUGUGCCAUUUAGCUUGUGCUAGUGUUUUUUUUCCAUGUGGAACUAUUCGUAAGCCAAACGAACCCAGACGCAAAGAUAGUUGUGGAAAGCGUUAUAAGAAAAUGUCCCGACGAUGAGAACAGCCAUACUGGAUGUAUGUCAAUUUUGCCAUCAUCAACUAUCUCCGACCCAGCUCUUGUUAACUUGAUUGUCACUAGAAAUAACACUACCGCUAUGUGGUGUAACACUGCCACGCCCAAAACGUUCGACUUAACGAUACACGAAGACGACGUAACCAAAGGACUUGACAAUCACUCAAGCAGGAAUUCUGCUGAUAGUUUAAUGUUUGCCUUGAUUAUUGCUACUUUUAUUUGUGCAUAUUCUUCUGUCUAGAAAGACAUUUCACAUGUAAAUUAAUGAAUAAAUCAGACAUUCUAUCA